rnacentral:rRNA from 1 species
GUAGGUGGCAGGCGUUGUCCGGAAUUAUUGGGCGUAAAGCGCGCGCAGGCGGUUCUUUAAGUCUGAUGUGAAAGCCCACGGCUCAACCGUGGAGGGUCAUUGGAAACUGGAGAACUUGAGUACAGAAGAGGAAAGCGGAAUUCCACGUGUAGCGGUGAAGUGCGUAGAGAUGUGGAGGAACACCAGUGGCGAAGGCGGCUUUCUGGUCUGUAACUGACGCUGAGGCGCGAAAGCGUGGGGAGCAAACAGGGAUUAGAUACCCUGGUAGUCCACGCCGUAAACGAUGAGUGCUAAGUGUUAGGGGGGUUUCCGCCCCCUUAGUGCUGCAGCUAACGCAUUAAGCACUCCGCCUGGGGAUACGGCCGCAAGGCUG